rnacentral:rRNA from 1 species
UAAUGGCUCACCAAGGCGACGAUCCCUAGCUGGUCUGAGAGGAUGAUCAGCCACACUGGAACUGAGACACGGUCCAGACUCCUACGGGAGGCAGCAGUGGGGAAUAUUGCACAAUGGGCGCAAGCCUGAUGCAGCCAUGCCGCGUGUGUGAAGAAGGCCUUCGGGUUGUAAAGCACUUUCAGUCGUGAGGAAGGUGGUAUUGUUAAUAGCANNAUCAUUUGACGUUAGCGACAGAAGAAGCACCGGCUAACUCCGUGCCAGCAGCCGCGGUAAUACGGAGGGUGCGAGCGUUAAUCGGAAUUACUGGGCGUAAAGCGCAUGCAGGUGGUUUGUUAAGUCAGAUGUGAAAGCCCGGGGCUCAACCUCGGAAUAGCAUUUGAAACUGGCAGACUAGAGUACUGUAGAGGGGGGUAGAAUUUCAGGUGU